rnacentral:rRNA from 1 species
GACGAACGCUGGCGGCGUGCUUAACACAUGCAAGUCGAACGGAAAGGCCCUGCUUUUGUGGGGUGCUCGAGUGGCGAACGGGUGAGUAACAAGUGAGUAACCUGCCCUUGACUUUGGGAUAACUUCAGGAAACUGGGGCUAAUACCGGAUAGGAGCUCCUGCUGCAUGGUGGGGGUUGGAAAGGUUCGGCGGUUGGGGAUGGACUCGCGGCUUAUCAGCUUGUUGGUGGGGUAGUGGCUUACCAAGGCUUUGACGGGUAGCCGGCCUGAGAGGGUGACCGGCCACAUUGGGACUGAGAUACGGCCCAGACUCCUACGGGAGGCAGCAGUGGGGAAUAUUGCACAAUGGGCGGAAGCCUGAUGCAGCAACGCCGCGUGCGGGAUGACGGCCUUCGGGUUGUAAACCGCUUUCGCCUGUGACGAAGCGUGAGUGACGGUAAUGGGUAAAGAAGCACCGGCUAACUACGUG